rnacentral:rRNA from 1 species
UAGGGAAUCUUCCACAAUGGACGCAAGUCUGAUGGAGCAACGCCGCGUGAGUGAAGAAGGUCUUCGGAUCGUAAAACUCUGUUGUUAGAGAAGAACACGAGUGAGAGUAACUGUUCAUUCGACGACGGUAUCUAACCAGCAAGUCACGGCUAACUACUUGCCAU